GACGAACGCUGGCGGCGUGCUUAACACAUGCAAGUCGAACGGAAAGGCCUGCUUUCCCUUGUGGAUUGCGGGUACUCGAGUGGCGAACGGGUGAGUAACACGUGAGUGAUCUGCCCCCAACUUGGGUAUAAGCCUGGGAAACUGGGUCUAAUUCCCGAUAGGACUGCAGGGUGGUGCCUGUGGUGGAAAACGAUUUUCUAGUGGUUGGGGAUGAGCUCGCGGCCUAUCAGCUUGUUGGUGGGGUAAUGGCCUACCAAGGCGGCGACGGGUAGCCGGCCUGAGAGGGUGGACGGCCACAUUGGGACUGAGAUACGGCCCAGACUACUACGGGAGGCAGCAGUGGGGAAUAUUGCACAAUGGGCGGAAGCCUGAUGCAGCGACGCCGCGUGGGGGAUGACGGCCUUCGGGUUGUAAACUCCUUUCGACCGCGAGGAAGCCACCUGGUUGGAAGGGUGGUGACGGUAGUGGUAGAAGAAGCACCGGCUAACUACGUG
rnacentral:rRNA from 1 species